rnacentral:rRNA from 1 species
CCCUUAGAUGUUCUGGGCUGCACGCGCGCUACACUGACGAAUGCAACGAGCUUAUAACCUUGGCCGAAAGGUCUGGGUAAUCUCCAAAUUUCGUCGUGAUGGGGAUAGAUUAUUGCAAUUAUUAAUCUUCAACGAGGAAUGCCUAGUAAGCGCAAGUCAUCAGCUUGCGUUGAUUACGUCCCUGCCCUUUGUACACACCGCCCGUCGCUCCUACCGAUUGAAUGGUCCGGUGAAGCGUUCGGACCGCUUCCUUUGGACGGGCAACCGUCUGUUGGUCGUGGGAAGUUCGUUAAACCUUAUCAUUUAGAGGAAGGAGAAGUCGUAACA